GGUUGCUAGCUCCUUCAAUUUCUUCUCAUCUUUAGUUUAUAUUUUGGCAUCUGAUUUGCCUCUUUAUUUUUUAAGAAAAUAAAAAAAUUAUUUUACUCUUGUAGAUUCUUAAAGGCAUAAAAUUUUUUUUUAUGAUCAAUUAUUCUAAUUUUAUAAAUAUAAAAUAAAAUAAAAUAAAUUUUUGCUUUCAACCUUCAAUAAUAGUGGC
rnacentral:lncRNA from 1 species